CAACAAUAAUCAGAACAAGAAGCACCUGUUAAUGUACCUCUGGAAGAGCCGUGUGAAGAACCAACAAAGCAACAAUCCAAAUAAGAAGUACCUGCUGAUGUCUGCCCUCUAGAACCCAACAAGCAGGGUGUUACGGGGUCUAUUACAAGCUCUGUUAUUGAACAAUUUUUCAAGGAUACCGAUGUCUAUCAAGUUUCUGAUGAAGAACAAUCAAAAAAACCUCCGGUGGCACGACAAUCAGAAAAAGAAACUCUAAUCUUGUCAUCAUUUGACAUUGCUGCUCAACCCAGGGAAAGGGAAUAUGAAAGGCCUUUCUUUAGCCUUGGAAUAAGUCCACCAGCAUCUCAACCAACUCAGCCCUCUUAAGAGAGUGAUUCACAGCUUGAAAUCCUAGCAAAGGCGGUUGUAGAAGUUGGAGUGGAAGCAGCAUUAAAAUUUGCUGAAGGAACAUCUUCAAAACCAACCUUACCAGCGGCUCAAGUUUACAAAACCCCACAAAAAAGACAAAAAUCACCCCCGAGCUGAUUGAUAAGUGUUAUCAUUGGAUGACACAAGUAAAACAGACAAAAGAUGGUACCAAUGAAUAUGAACCAAUAUUUGUCUUGAAACAUGAGG